GACGAACGCUGGCGGCGCGCUUAACACAUGCAAGUCGAGCGAAGCGGCGGACGGGUGAGUAACACGUGAGUAACCUGCCUUAGACAUUGGGAUAGUCUCGGGAAACCGGGAUUAAUACCAAAUGGUCUAAGAUUGACUCGCGUCCCAUUAGCCAGUUGGUAGGUAACGGCCCACGAAGGCGACGAUGGGUAGCCGGCCAGUGAGUGUGAACGGCCACAUUGGAGCUGGGAAACGGUCCAAACUCUACGGGAGGCAGCAGUGGGGGAUAUUGCACAAUGGAGGGAACUCUGAUGCAGCGACGCCGCGUGAACGAAGAAGGCUUUCGAGUCGUAAAGUUCUUUUAUAUGGGAAGCGGUACCAUAAGAAAAAGCCCCGGCUAACUACGUGCCAGCAGCCGCGGUAAUUC
rnacentral:rRNA from 1 species